rnacentral:rRNA from 1 species
AACCCCAAGGUAAGGCGGUCAGCUGAAUUAUCUUCUAUGAAGCGGUAACAGCUCAAAUUUGAAAUCUGGGUCUUUCAGGCUCCGAGUUGUAAUUUGUAGAAGAUGCUUCGGGUGCGGCUCCGGUCUAAGUUCCUUGGAACAGGACGUCAUAGAGGGUGAGAAUCCCGUAUGUGAUCGGUUGCUUGCGCCCAUGUGAAGCUCUUUCGACGAGUCGAGUUGUUUGGGAAUGCAGCUCAAAAUGGGUGGUAAAUUUCAUCUAAAGCUAAAUAUUGGCCAGAGACCGAUAGCGCACAAGUAGAGUGAUCGAAAGAUGAAAAGCACUUUGGAAAGAGAGUUAAACAGUACGUGAAAUUGUUGAAAGGGAAGCGCUUGCAACCAGACUUGCGCGUUGCCGAUCAUCCGGGGUUCUCCCCGGUGCACUCGGCCUCGCUCAGGCCAGCAUCGGUUUUGGUGGUGGGAUAAAGGCCUUGGGAAUGUAGCUCCUUUCGGGGAGUGUUAUAGCCCUCGGUGCAAUGCCGCCUACCGGGACCGAGGACCGCGCUUCGGCUAGGAUGCUGGCGUAAUGGUUGUAAGCGAC